rnacentral:rRNA from 1 species
CUUGGGGCGUUUAGAGAUCCUGAAAUAUGGGGCCCGCAGAGGGCAGAGGUAAUUCAGGGGUAGAAGUGAAAUUCUGUAAUCCUGAGGUCCUCCGAUGUGUAAGACAUCUUACAAGAACAGCUCGUCCUCCGAAGGGGGGGGGGGGGCCCCCCCCCCCCUCCCCUACCCCUGUAAAAACAAGAGGGGAACUAUCGCGGUGGGGCGUGCGCGUCGUCGCCCCCCCGUUACAAAAAGGAGAGAAGAGUGCCACGCGAAACCUGCCUCUUUUUUUGUCGUUGGGGGGGCUGGAGCUUAAAGGUAUUGGCGGGGGAGCACCUCAACGGGUGGAGCCUGCGGUUUAAGGGGGGUGGGGAACCGGGCAGCUCUCCGGAUAGGACAGCAGAAUGAUAGCCGGGCUGAAGACCUUGCUUGCCAGCUGAGAGGAGGUGCAUGGCCGUCUUCUUUUCCUUCUUGAACACCGUUAUCGCACGACGAGACCAAAUGGUCCCGUCCUUGAGGUGCGAGCUGCGAGCUAUCAGAGAUAUGAA